AUUGAACGCUGGCGGCAGGCCUAACACAUGCAAGUCGAGCGGGGUUUUCGGACCUAGCGGCGGACGGGUGAGUAAUGCGUAGGAAGCUGCCCGAUAGAGGGGGAUACCAGUUGGAAACGACUGUUAAUACCGCAUAAUGUCUACGGACCAAAGUGUGGGACCUUCGGGCCACAUGCUAUCGGAUGCGCCUACGUGGGAUUAGCUAGUUGGUGAGGUAAUGGCUCACCAAGGCGACGAUCUCUAGCUGGUUUGAGAGGAUGAUCAGCCACACUGGAACUAGGACACGGUCCAGACUCCUACGGGAGGCAGCAGUGGGGAAUAUUGGACAAUGGGCGCAAGCCUGAUCCAGCCAUGCCGCGUGUGUGAAGAAGGCCUUCGGGUUGUAAAGCACUUUCAGCGAGGAGGAAGGGUGGUGUGUUAAUAGCACAUCAUUUUGACGUUACUCGCAGAAGAAGCACCGGCUAACUCUGUGCAGCCGCCGCAGUAACAC
rnacentral:rRNA from 1 species